UUAAGUGAAUAAGGGCGCACGGUGGAUGCCUUGGCACUAGGAGCCGAUGAAGGACGGGACUAACACCGAUAUGCUUUGGGGAGCUGUACGUAAGCUAUGAUCCAGAGAUUUCCGAAUGGGGGAACCCAGCAUCUUUAAUAGGAUGUUACGAUUGUGUGAAUACAUAGCACAUUCGAGGUAGACGCAGAGAACUGAAACAUCUAAGUACCUGCAGGAAGAGAAAGAAAAUUCGAUUCCCUGAGUAGCGGCGAGCGAAACGGGAAAAGCCCAAACCAGCAAGCUUGCUUGUUGGGGUUGUAGGACUCCAAUAUGGUAGUUCUUUCAGAUAGUCGAAUGACUUGGAAAAGUCAGUCAAAGAGGGUAAAAACCCCGUAGACGAAAUGUGGAAGACACCUAGGAGGAUCCUGAGUACGGCGGAACACGAGAAAUUCCGUCGGAAUCCGGGAGGACCAUCUCCCAAGGCUAAAUACUCCCUAGUGACCGAUAGUGAACCAGUACCGUGAGGGAAAGGUGAAAAGCACCCCGGAAGGGGAGUGAAAUAGAACCUGAAACCGUGUGCCUACAACAAGUCAAAGCCCGUUAAUGGGUGCUUUAAUAGGAUGUUACGAUUGUACCGGCGAGUUACGAUUGCAUGCGAGGUUAAGUUGAAGAGACGGAGCCGCAGCGAAAGCGAGUCUGAAUAGGGCGUUUGAGUAUGUAGUCGUAGACCCGAAACCAUGUGAUCUACCCAUGUCCAGGUUGAAGGUGCGGUAAAACGCACUGGAGGACCGAACCCACGUACGUUGAAAAGUGCGGGGAUGAGGUGUGGGUAGCGGAGAAAUUCCAAACGAACUUGGAGAUAGCUGGUUCUCUCCGAAAUAGCUUUAGGGCUAGCCUCGGAAUUGAGAAUGAUGGAGGUAGAGCACUGUUUGGACUAGGGGCCCAUCUCGGGUUACCGAAUUCAGAUAAACUCCGAAUGCCAUUCAUUCAUAUCCGGGAGUCAGACUGUGAGUGAUAAGAUCCAUAGUCGAAAGGGAAACAGCCCAGACCACCAGCUAAGGUCCCAAAAUAUAUGUUAAGUGGAAAAGGAUGUGGGGUUGCACAGACAACUAGGAUGUUGGCUUAGAAGCAGCCAUCAUUUAAAGAGUGCGUAAUAGCUCACUAGUCGAGUGACCCUGCGCCGAAAAUGUACCGGGGCUAAACAUAUUACCGAAGCUGUGGAGUACACCUUUAGGUGUAUUGGUAGGAGAGCGUUCUAAGGGCGUCGAAGGCAGAUCGUGAGGACUGCUGGAGCGCUUAGAAGUGAGAAUGCCGGUAUGAGUAGCGAAAGACAGGUGAGAAUCCUGUCCACCGAAUGACUAAGGUUUCCUGGGGAAGGCUCGUCCGCCCAGGGUUAGUCGGGACCUAAGCCGAGGCCGACAGGCGUAGGCGAUGGAUAACAGGUUGAUAUUCCUGUACCCGUUGUUUUUGUUUGAGCAAUGGAGGGACGCAGGAGGCUAAGGAAUGCAGACGAUCGGAAAUGUCUGUCCAAGCAGCAAGUCUGAAGAGGAGUUAAAUGCUUCUUUUCUUAAGGACAAGCUGUGAUGGGGAGGGAAAUAAUAGUACCGAAGUUCCUGAUGUCACACUGCCGAGAAAAGCUUCUAGUGAGAAAACAGCGGCCCGUACCGCAAACCGACACAGGUAGUCGAGGAGAGAAUCCUAAGGUGAGCGAGAGAACUCUCGUUAAGGAACUCGGCAAAAUGACCCCGUAACUUCGGGAGAAGGGGUGCUGAUCAUACGAUCAGCCGCAGUGAAUAGGCCCAAGCGACUGUUUAUCAAAAACACAGGUCUCUGCAAAAUCGUAAGAUGAAGUAUAGGGGCUGACGCCUGCCCGGUGCUGGAAGGUUAAGAGGAGUGCUUAGCGCAAGCGAAGGUACGAAUUGAAGCCCCAGUAAACGGCGGCCGUAACUAUAACGGUCCUAAGGUAGCGAAAUUCCUUGUCGGGUAAGUUCCGACCCGCACGAAAGGCGUAACGAUUUGGGCACUGUCUCAACGAGAGACUCGGUGAAAUUUUAGUACCUGUGAAGAUGCAGGUUACCCGCGACAGGACGGAAAGACCCCAUGGAGCUUUACUGUAGUUUGAUAUUGAGUGUCUGUACCGCAUGUACAGGAUAGGUAGGAGCCGUAGAAAUCGGAACGCUAGUUUCUCGGCAAAAUGACCCCGUAACUUCGGGAGAAGGGGUGCUGAUCAUACGAGCACCACUAAUCGUGGUGGGAGACAGUGUCAGAUGGGCAGUUUGACUGGGGCGGUCGCCUCCUAAAAGGUAACGGAGGCGCCCAAAGGUUCCCUCAGAAUGGUUGGAAAUCAUUCGAAGAGUGUAAAGGCAGAAGGGAGCUUGACUGCGAGACCAACAAGUCGAGCAGGGACGAAAGUCGGGCUUAGUGAUCCGGUGGUUCCGCAUGGAAGGGCCAUCGCUCAACGGAUAAAAGCUACCCUGGGGAUAACAGGCUUAUCUCCCCCAAGAGUCCACAUCGACGGGGAGGUUUGGCACCUCGAUGUCGGCUCGUCGCAUCCUGGGGCUGUAGUCGGUCCCAAGGGUUGGGCUGUUCGCCCAUUAAAGCGGCACGCGAGCUGGGUUCAGAACGUCGUGAGACAGUUCGGUCCCUAUCCGUCGCGGGCGUUGGAAAUUUGAGAGGAGCUGUCCUUAGUACGAGAGGACCGGGAUGGACUUACCGCUGGUGUACCAGUUGUUCUGCCAAGGGCAUUGCUGGGUAGCUAUGUAGGGAAGGGAUAAACGCUGAAAGCAUCUAAGUGUGAAGCCCACCUCAAGAUGAGAUUUCCCAUUUCUUUAAGAAAGUAAGAUCCCUGAGAGAUGAUCAGGUAGAUAGGUCAGGAGUGGAAGUACAGUGAUGUAUGGAGCGGACUGAUACUAAUCGAUCGAGGACUUAACC
rnacentral:rRNA from 1 species